UACGUAGGGUGCGAGCGUUGUCCGGAAUUAUUGGGCGUAAAGGGCUCGUAGGCGGUUUGUCGCGUCGGGAGUGAAAACUCAGGGCUUAACCCUGAGCCUGCUCCGAGUACGGGCAGACUAGAGGUAUGCAGGGGAGAACGGAAUUCCUGGUGUAGCGGUGAAAUGCGCAGAUAUCGGGAGGAACACCGAUGGCGAAGGCAGCACUCUGGGCCGGCACUGACGCUGAGGAGCGAAAGCGUGGGGAGCGAACGAG
rnacentral:rRNA from 1 species